AGCAUAUCAAUAAGCGGAGGAAAAGAAACCAACAGGGAUUGCCUCAGUAACUGCGAGUGAAGUGGCAAAAGCUCAAAUUUGAAAUCCGGUACCUUUGGUGCCUGACUUGUAAUUUGGAGAGACAAAUUUGGUUGGCAGCGCUGGCCUAGGUUCCUUUGAACAGGACAACACAGAGGGUGAGAAUCCCGUUCAUGGCCGGAGUUGCUGUCACAUUGCUAGAUUGUCUUCGACGAGUCGAGUUGUUUGGGAAUGCAGCUCAAAAUGGGUGGUAAAUGUCAUCUAAAGCUAAAUAUUGGCGAGAGACCGAUAGCGCACAAGUAGAGUGAUCGAAAGAUGAAAAGCAUUUUGAAAAGAGAGUCAAAAAGUACGUGAAAUUGCUGAAAGGGAAGCGCUUGAGACCAGACUCGAACCUCGGUGAUCAGCCCUGCUUCUGUGCGGCCUUACUUGCCAUGGUUUGGGCCAGCAUCGGUUCCGGCGGUCGGAUAAAAGGUGGAGGAAUGUAGCUUCCUCCGGGGAGUGUUAAUUUAGCCNNCNNCACGAUGCGGCCAGCUGGGACCGAGGAUCGCGCUCCACGUUGAGCUAGGAUGCUGGCGUAAUGGUCUUAAGCGACCCGU
rnacentral:rRNA from 1 species